rnacentral:piRNA from 1 species
UGUUAACAGGCUGUAUGAUGUUGGCCACA